GACGGGGGAUGCGAGCGUUAUCCGGAAUGAUUGGGCGUAAAGGGUCCGCAGGUGGCCCGGUCAGUCCGCUGUCAAAGCCUGGGGCUCAACCCUGGAGAGGCGGCGGAGACCACCGGGCUUGAGUCCGGUAGGGGCAGAGGGAAUUCCCGGUGGAGCGGUGAAAUGCGUAGAGAUCAGGAAGAACAUCGGUGGCGAAGGCGCUCUGCUGGACCAUAACUGACACUCAGGGACGAAAGCUAGGGGAUCGAAUGGG
rnacentral:rRNA from 1 species